rnacentral:ncRNA from 1 species
AAAGUUUUAUUAUGGCUUAUAAUUUAUUUUAUAAAUAUAAUAUAUGUGAAUUUUUGUGUAAUUAAUAAAUUUUGUAUUUAUUAAUUUGGAUUAUGCAGUAUUUUUAAUUAAAAAUUUAAGGAAUUAAGAUUUAGUAAAUUGUAAAAAUAUUAGUUAAGUUUGUGCCAGCAGCUGCGGUUAUACAGACAAUGUAAAUAAAUUUUUAUUAGUAAGUAAUUAAUUAAUAAUUUAAGAUUAGGAAAUAGACUUUUUAGGUGAAAUUUAAUGUCUAUAGAAGUUUAUAUUGGAGGAUGAUUUAUUAAAUUUUAAUUAAAACUAGGAUUAGAUACCCUAUUAUUAAAAAUGUAAAUUUAAAUACUAGGGUAUUAAUAGUUACGUUCUUAAAAUCAAAAUAAUUUGGCGGUAUUUUAGUCUUUUCAGAGGAACCUGUUCUGUAAUUGAUGAUCCACGAUAGAUUAAACCUUUUUUAUAAAUUUGUAUAUCGUCGUAGCUUGAAUAUUUUAAAAGAAAAUAAAUGUUCAUAAUCUUAAAUUAAAAAUAAAAUCAGAUCAAGGUGCAGUGGAUAGAAAGGUAGAAAUGGGUUACAAUAAAUUUAUUUAUACGUAUUAUUAAUUGAAAUAUUAAUAUGAAGGAGGAUUUGAAAGUAAUUUUAUUUACUUAUAUAAAUUGAUUUAAGCUCUAGAAUAUGUACAUAUCGCCCGUCACUCCUAUAAUAAAUAGGAUAAGUCGUAACAAAGUAGGUGUACUGGAAAGUGUACCUAGAAUGA